UACGAAGGGGGGCAAGCGUUGUUCGGAAUCACUGGGCGUAAAGGGCGCGUAGGCGGCUUUAUAAGUCGGGGGUGAAAGCCUGUGGCUCAACCACAGAAUUGCCUUUCGAUACUGUAGAGCUUGAGACCGGAAGAGGUAAGUGGAACUGCGAGUGUAGCGGUGAAAUGCGUAGAUAUUGGGGAGGAACACCAGUGGCGAAGGCGGCUCACUGGACCGGUACUGACGCUGAGGCGCGAAAGCGUGGGGAGCAAACGGGG
rnacentral:rRNA from 1 species